rnacentral:rRNA from 1 species
GACGAACGCUGGCGGCGUGCUUAACACAUGCAAGUCGAACGGAAAGGCCCUGCUUUUGUGGGGUGCUCGAGUGGCGAACGGGUGAGUAACACGUGAGUAACCUGCCCUUGACUUUGGGAUAACUUCAGGAAACUGGGGCUAAUACCGGAUAGGAGCUCCUGCUGCAUGGUGGGGGUUGGAAAGUUUCGGCGGUUGGGGAUGGACUCGCGGCUUAUCAGCUUGUUGGUGGGGGAGUGGCUUGCCAAGGCUUUGACGGGUAGGCGGCCCGAGAGGGUGACCGGCCACAUUGGGACUGAGGGACGGCCCAGAGUCCUACGGGAGGCAGCAGUGGGGAAUAUUGCACAAUGGGCGGAAGCCUGAUGCAGAAACGCCGCGUGCGUGAUGACGGCCUUUGGGUUGUAAACCGCAUUCGCCUGUGACGAAGCUUGAGUGACGGUAAUGGGUAAAGAAGCACCGGCUAACUACGUG